rnacentral:lncRNA from 1 species
CAAACCUGCACAGAUUGUUUAUAAUGCAAAAUGUUAGGUAUCCUAAAUACAGUGGAAAGGACCUGAAUGAUCAUGCCUCACACUGCUUUUUAUGCUUGUUUCUUAACCAACGUUUAUGUACUUCAAGCAAAAGUGGCCUCCUCCGCCUGCUUCACCCAACAGUAAUGAGUUUGGUUUAUCAGAUUCUGGGGAUCCCACUUGCCCCGCACACCAUAAAAAACAUCUAAUUUGGUGGUCCUGAUGAAACGUGCUUUCUGUUUCAUGUUCCCCAGCGAGAUAAGGCGGCUAUCGGGGCAGGAAGCCUUCUUGGAAAUCACCGUGGGCUUGGCACUGCCGUGCAUCGAGGUAGCCAUGGAAACCUGCUCUCAAAGCCGGCGCCGGCUGAUAAGAGCCUCGAGUGCCACCGGCUGUGUCCGGCCGGGAGAAGGUGAGCAGGAAAGGAAGAAAGGGCGAAUACAAGAGGGCUGAGAGAGCAGAAAGGAACUGCUAAGUUUUGGAACAGGACAGCAACUGUGAUGGAGCAAUAAACAAAAUGUUAAAGUAAAUGAGAAUGACUGA